GCAGUGGUGGUUCAGUGGUGGAGUUCUUGCCUUCCAUGCAGGAGGCCUGGGUUCAAUUCCCGGCCAACGCA
rnacentral:tRNA from 1 species